rnacentral:rRNA from 1 species
AGAGGGUGCAAACGUUGCUCGGGAUUUACUGGGGCGUAAAGCGCGUGUAGGCGGACUCGCAAGUCGGUUGUGAAAUCCCUGGGGGCUCAACCUAGGAACUGCAUCCGAAACUGCUUGUCUUGAGUAAUGGAGAGGGUGGCGGAAUUCCCGGUGUAGAGGUGAAAUUCGUAGAUAUCGGGAGGAACAUCAGUGGCGAAGGCGGCCACCUGGACAUUUACUGACGCUGAGACGCGAAAGCGUGGGGAGCAAACAGGAUUAGAUACCCUGGUAGUCCACGCCGUAAACGAUGAGAACUAGGUGCAGCGGAUAUUGACCUCUGCUGUGCCGUAGCUAACGCGUUAAGUUCUCCGCCUGGGGAGUACGGCCGCAAGGCUA